GUGCACCAGUCGAGAAACUUCACAAUGUGCGAAAGCACGAUGAGGGAAUCCCAAGUGCUUGCACGUAAGUGUAAGCUGUUUCUCUGUCUAAAACGCAGAGAGAGUAAGGGCUGGGUAAGACGGGUGCCAGCCGCCGCGGUAAUACCUGCAGCUCGAGUGGUGACCGUUAUUAUUGGGCCUAAAACGUCCGUAGCCGGUUUAAUAAAUGCCUGGGUAAAUCGGACCGCUUAACGGUUCGAAUUCCGGGUAGACUGUUAAACUUGAGACCGGGAGAAGUUAGAGGUACUCCUGGGGUAGAGGUGAAAUUCUGUAAUCCUAGGGGGACCACCAGUGGCGAAGGCGUCUAACUAGAACGGGUCUGACGGUGAGGGACGAAGCCCUGGGGCGCAAACGGGAUUAGAUACCCCCGUAGU
rnacentral:rRNA from 1 species